rnacentral:sRNA from 1 species
GAUCAAGUCUCUCAGGGCUGUCACAUUAUGAGGUUAUGCUAGUUACGCUGUCAGCUUGAUCCAAAAUGGAGUCAUCUGGCAAAAGGGAACCUCAGUUAUGAAAUCUCCUUCAUCAAGUUGACCCGGGACCAUGUUUGGGGGGGCAUCUUGUUGUUUAACUAUUGAUGUGAAAGCACCUAGUAGGGUAUGGGCAGUGCUACUCCUGGGAAAGUGGUCCUGAGAAGGCCUCAAGGAAUACACAGGGCUUUGAGACCAUCAACCGCUUGGCGAUGCUGACCUAAGUACAAACAGUUCUCUGGCACCACGUGGUUAUAUACAAAUGACAUCCUGGGUGGAUCCUCAGAAGAAUGCUUGUACCAUCCACCGCAGUUCAGCCUCCUUUGAUUUCGCACUCAGCGCUAUGAGUUUUCCUCUUAGCACAGCUUUCAUUGUGAUCGGACAUGUUUCUAAGUCACAUCCUACUCACAGAAGAACAUCACUUGUAUUCCCAGAGCAAAGGUCUGCCUAUGCUUUAAUUGUCGUAUGGGUCUUCGAUGUUCUGUUCCAUCUCGUCUACCAUAAAUUUGUCCUCCGUAUCCUGAAGGAUAUAAGAAUUACUGAUACAUGCUUUGUUUGGCUCCAAUGCAGAGGAUGAGAAUGGCAACUCCUGUCAUGUUUUGGAUCUUUAAUGUCCCUAUAGACCCUUAUGGGAAAGCUUUAUUCUCCAGGCUGUGACACUCAUAGCAGAUGAUAGACCCUUUAAGAGGUAAAACCUGGUUUAAAUCGACCAAAGGGAUAUACUCCUGGAAGAGAUAGUAGGAAUGGAGCCUUGAUCAAUCAUACACACUCUCUCUCCUCUCUCUGUCCCUCCAUUUUUCCUUACUAUUUUUAGAAAGAUGAGCAGGUUUUCCACCAGCUAUUCACCCACAUGAGGACUCUGCUGAAGAGGAGGAACCCACUGAUCACAGAAUGAAGUUUUUAGCAUUGUGACCCAAAAUAAAUCUUACCUCCUUAAGUAGAUUGUUUCAACGAUUUUGUUUCAGUAACAGAAAGCUGACUAAUGUAACUUUCAGCUGCAUCAUGUUUUGAAUUACUGAAAAGGAAACUUUAAGUUUCUUCAGGCAUUCAAUAUCUUCAUCUAUAAAAUAAAGAUAAUAAUAACCUAGAAUGGUGGGUGGUGUAAAUAAAUUCUGUGCAAUGAAAUUAUUGGAACAGAGCAUGACAUGUACUAAGUGAUAAUAAAUAUUAAGAGAUCUGAA